UUGCAGGCUGUUCCAGCAAGGCUCAGCCUCAUGUGGCUCUGACCUUUCCUGUAGUGUCUGCUAGAGAGAAUGGAGGCUGUUUGAGGCCUUGCUGUGUCUUUUUCACGGCCGGGUUAUAGGUAAACCUCGGACAUUG